GACGAACGCUGGCGGCGCGCUUAACACAUGCAAGUCGAGCGAUGAAACUUUAACAGAACCCUUCGGGGCGAAGAUAAAGUGGAUUAGCUGCGGACUGGUGAGUAACACGUGAGUAACCUGCCUUAGACAUUGGGAUAGCCUCGGGAAACCGGGAUUAAUACCAAAUAAAAUCAUAAUGACACAUGUCAUAACUAUCAAAACUCCGGUGGUCUAAGAUGGACUCUCGUCCCAUUAGUUAGUUGGUAGAGUAAAAGCCUACCAAGGCGACGCUGGCUAGCCGGCAUGAGAGGGUGAACGGCCACAUUGGAACUGAGCAACGGUCCAAACUCCUACGGGAGGCAGCAGUGGGGAAUAUUGCACAAUGGAGGGAACUCUGAUGCAGCGACGCCGCGUGAACGAAGAAGGCUUUCGAGUAGUAAAGUUCUUUUAUAUGGGAAGAUAAUGACGGUACCAUAAGAAAAAGCCCCGGCUAACUACGUG
rnacentral:rRNA from 1 species